rnacentral:rRNA from 1 species
AUUGAACGCUGGCGGCAGGCCUAACACAUGCAAGUCGAACGGUAACAGGAAACAGCUUGCUGUUUCGCUGACGAGUGGCGGACGGGUGAGUAAUGUCUGGGAAACUGCCUGAUGGAGGGGGAUAACUACUGGAAACGGUAACUAAUACCGCAUAACGUCGCAAGACCAAAGAGGGGGACCCUCGGGCCUCUUGCCAUCGGAUGUGCCCAGAUGGGAUUAGCUUGUUGGUGGGGUAACGGCUCACCAAGGCGACGAUCCCUAGCUGGUCUGAGAGGAUGACCAGCCACACUGGAACUGAGACACGGUCCAGACUCCUACGGGAGGCAGCAGUGGGGAAUAUUGCACAAUGGGCGCAAGCCUGAUGCAGCCAUGCCGCGUGUAUGAAGAAGGCCUUCGGGUUGUAAAGUACUUUCAGCGGGGAGGAAGGGAGUAAAGUUAAUACCUUUGCUCAUGGACGUUACCCGCAGAAGAAGCACCGGCUAACUCCGU